rnacentral:rRNA from 1 species
UGCGCAGGCGGUUUGUUAAGACAGGUGUGAAAUCCCCGGGCUUAACCUGGGAACUGCGCUUGUUACUGGCAGACUUGAGUGUGGCAGAGGGGGGUGGAAUUCCAGGUGUAGCAGUGAAAUGCGUAGAGAUCUGGAGGAACACCGAUGGCGAAGGCAGCCCCCUGGGCUAACACUGACGCUCAUGCACGAAAGCGUGGGGAGCAAACAGGAUUAGAUACCCUGGUAGUCCACGCCCUAAACUAUGUCAACUGGUUGUCGGGGAAGCAAUUCCUUGGUAACGAAGCUAACGCGUGAAGUUGACCGCCUGGGGAGUACGGCCGCAAGGUUAAA